AUUGAACGCUGGCGGCAUGCCUUACACAUGCAAGUCGAACGGCAGCACGGGGCAACCUGGUGGCGAGUGGCGAACGGGUGAGUAAAGCAUCGGAACGUGCCCUGGAGUGGGGGAUAACGUAGCGAAAGUUACGCUAAUACCGCAUAUUCUGUGAGCAGGAAAGCAGGGGAUCGCAAGACCUUGCGCUCUGGGAGCGGCCGAUGUCGGAUUAGCUAGUUGGUGGGGUAAAGGCCUACCAAGGCGACGAUCCGUAGCGGGUCUGAGAGGACGACCAGCCACACUGGGACUGAGACACGGCCCAGACUCCUACGGGAGGCAGCAGUGGGGAAUUUUGGACAAUGGGCGAAAGCCUGAUCCAGCCAUGCCGCGUGCAGGAUGAAGGCCUUCGGGUUGUAAACUGCUUUGUACGGAACGAAAGACUCUGGUUAAUACCUGGGUCCAUGACGGUACCGUAAGAAUAAGCACCGGCUAACUACGUGCCAGCAGCCGCGGUAAAGCUACG
rnacentral:rRNA from 1 species